rnacentral:rRNA from 1 species
UACGUAGGGAGCAAGCGUUGUCCGGAAUCAUUGGGCGUAAAGCGCUCGUAGGUGGCCUCGUAAGUCCGCUGUGAAAGUCAAAGGCUCAACCUUUGAAAGCCGGUGGAUACUGUGGGGCUAGAGUACGGAAGAGGCGAGUGGAAUUCCUGGUGUAGCGGUGGAAUGCGCAGAUAUCAGGAGGAACACCAAUAGCGAAGGCAGCUCGCUGGGACGUUACUGACACUGAGGCGCGAAAGCGUGGGGAGCGAACAGG